CCUACGGGUGGCAGCAGUGGGGAAUAUUGCGCAAUGGGCGAAAGCCUGACGCAGCGACGCCGCGUGAGGGAUGAAGGUCUUCGGAUCGUAAACCUCUGUCAGCAGGGAAGAACGGUCACUGUGCUAAUCAGCAGUGAAUUGACGGUACCUGCAAAGGAAGCACCGGCUAACUCCGAGCCAGCAGCCGCGGUAAUAAGGAGGGUGCGAGCGUUAAUAGGAAUUACUGGGCGUAAAGCGCCCGUAGGCGGUAUGUCAAGUCAAGGGUGAAAUCCCCGCGCUCAACGUGGGAACUGCCUUUGAAACUGGCAAACUGGAGUGUGUGAGAGGAUAGUGGAAUUCAAGGUGUAGGAGUGAAAUCCGUAGAUAUCUGGAGGAACAUCAGUGGCGAAGGCGACUAUCUGGCACAUAACUGACGCUGAUGCUCGAAAGCGCGGGUAUCGAACAGGAUUAGAUACCCGGGUAGUC
rnacentral:rRNA from 1 species